GUUGCUUGGUGUAAUGGUUAGCACAUCAGAUUCUGACAAUGAACUUGGAAGCUUCUGGGGAUAUUGGUUCGAUUCCUAUAGCGAGGACA